rnacentral:tmRNA from 1 species
GGGGAUGUUUUGGUUUUGACAUCAGAUUAAUUGGUAUGUAAGCAUGUCGAGCGUUUGCAGAGUGUCUCGUAAAUCGUAACUGCAAGCCUAUAACUGGCAACAAUUCUUAUGCACUUGCUGCGUAGUUAACCAAGUUAAC